AGCACGUAGGUGGGUUUGUAAGUCAGAUGUGAAAGCCUUCUGUUCAACGGAAGAAUUGCAUCUGAAACUACGAACCUUGAGUAUAGGAGGGGAGAAUGGAACUUCUGGUGGAGCGGUGAAAUGCGUAGAUAUCAGAAGGAACGUCGGCGGCGAAAGCGAUUCUCUGGCCUGUUACUGACACUGAGUGUGCGAAAGCUAGGGGAGCAAACGGGAUUAGAUACCCCGGUAGUCCUAGCCGUAAACGAUGGGCACUAAGUAGAGGGGUUUU
rnacentral:rRNA from 1 species